rnacentral:lncRNA from 1 species
CAUUUCUACAAAACAGAAUGCAACACUGGAGAAUAAUUCUACAUGUCACUAUAAAUAACAAUUACAUAGCCACGAAAUCCAUACACAUUAGACGUGGUAUAUUUCAGGGCAAUUCCUUGAGCCAACUAUGGUUCUACCUUGCCCUAAAUCCAAUUUCCAACAAACUGAACACAUCAAAUUGUGGCUACAACAUUACGCGAAACCGAACAACACAUACAUCUUUUAUAUGUGGACAACAUUAAGCUGUAUGCCUCAAUACAAACACAAUUACAACAGCUGUUACAAAUCACACACACACAUUCUCAAAAGAUAUCUGCAUGGAGUUUGGCCUAGACAA